AGACUUCAUGACAUCGUGUGUUGUACUGCUUGUGGCCAACAAGUAAACCAUUAUGAGGAUUCAGUGUAUAGACAUCCUGCACUGAAUGUUCUUAUUUGUAAGAGCUGCUACAUAUAUACGAGUGAUGACAUAAGCCAUGAUUCUACUAGACCUCAUAAGCACUGCAGAUGGUGUACAGAAGGUGGAGAUUUAAUUAUUUGUGAUUUCUGCCCUAAUGCUUUUUGUAAAAAAUGCAUUUGGCGCAAUCUAGGGAAAAAGGAGAUGGCAAAAGUGAUGAGUAAGAACACUAAGUGGAGUUGUUACAUUUGUCAGCCGGAGCCUUUAUUGGAUUUGGUUGCCAUAUGUGACUGUGUAUUUGAGAAUUUAGCACACUUAGAUCAGCAGUCUAAAAAGAAAAAGUUAGUAAGUGAAAAGAGUGAUAACACAUGUGACCAUUCAGAGAAAUUAAAUCAUGGAAGUUGUGCUGAAGAGACACAUCAGGUGUAUAACCCUUCCCCUGAUGCUGCACCACCCCCUUUUCCCACAUUACUGAUUCCAGAAACCUUGAUUGAGAAGACAGAAGCAUUGGUUAAGAACGUGAGAGAGACAAACACUACUUUUCUGAAACAUUUGCAACAAACAUCCCCUUAUUCAGUUAGCCCAAGUGAGAGGGAAGGUCAGUAUGAAAUUAUGAAACAUAUGGUAAUGGAGAUACAUAAUGCUCAGGAGGCCUUGGAAGAUUGCCUGAGUAAUGAAGUAAUGAAAUUGGUUGUUAAAGAGAUGGAUGAAAAUAAUAAAGACAGAGAAAAUGAGAAUGUUUAAAAACAUACUAAAACUCUCAAGAUUUCUUUGUUAGGAUGGGGUAAGAGAUAUUUCCUUGUUCAUAGCUACAAUGUGAGGGCACCCGCUCUGUCCAACUGCAUUUGUUAUGUUUGGGUACUUAACCCUCUGUUUGCUUUCUGUACGCCGCCUCUUGUUACUGCCAGUCUGCCCUGGUUUAGGGCAGAUAUCCAGUUCUCCUGAGAUGUGAUCAAAUAAAGGCUUCUGUUUUCUACUUUGAAAUACCUCUCUUUUUAAUGG